GUGCUCGCUUCAGCAGCACAUAUACUAAAAUUGGAACGAUACAGAGAAGAUUAGCAUGGCCCCUGUGCAAGGAUGACAUGCAAAUUCGUGAAGUGUUCCAUAUUUUU
rnacentral:snRNA from 1 species